CUGCACUGUACGUAACCUGCUUCCAGCUCUCUCCUGGCUGUGGGUUCCAUUCCAGUGCUAUAUUAUUACCAGCCGGGGGGUGCACGUGGCAAGUGUCUCUGGUCUUGCCACCUCCCCUGAAGCUUGGGUACAAAG